UACGUAGGGGGCAAGCGUUGUCCGGAAUUAUUGGGCGUAAAGCGCGCGCAGGCGGUCUCUUAAGUCUGAUGUGAAAGCCCCCGGCUCAACCGGGGAGGGUCAUUGGAAACUGGGAGACUUGAGUGCAGAAGAGAAGAGUGGAAUUCCACGUGUAGCGGUGAAAUGCGUAGAGAUGUGGAGGAACACCAGUGGCGAAGGCGACUCUUUGGUCUGUAACUGACGCUGAGGCGCGAAAGCGUGGGGAGCAAACAGG
rnacentral:rRNA from 1 species